UUUCCGUAGGUGAACCUGCGGAAGGAUCAUUAGUGAACGAGGGCUCUUUGGCCGACCAAACCUGUCGCAAGCGUGGGAGGGACCCUCCGGGGUCCUUCGCCAAAUGCCGCCUGUAGGCGUGGCGGCCGAGGGGCCCGUAACCAACCACAACCGUGAACCCGUCGUCCUCGGACGAUACAUCUCCUGGGGUAGAGAAAGUGAUACACAUAAACAGUAUAACUGUCAGCAACGGAUCUCUUGGCUCUCGCAUCGAUGAAGAACGCAGC
rnacentral:misc_RNA from 1 species